rnacentral:rRNA from 1 species
AGCGAACGCUGGCGGCAGGCUUAACACAUGCAAGUCGAACGCCAUCUUCGGAUGGAGUGGCAGACGGGUGAGUAACGCGUGGGAACGUACCCUUUGGUUCGGAAUAUUCUCGGGAAACUGAGAGCAAUACCGGAUAAGCCCUACGGGGGAAAGAUUUAUCGCCAAAGGAGCGGCCCGCGUCAGAUUAGGUAGUUGGUGGGGUAAAGGCCUACCAAGCCUACGAUCUGUAGCUGGUCUGAGAGGAUGAUCAGCCACACUGGGACUGAGACACGGCCCAGACUCCUACGGGAGGCAGCAGUGGGGAAUCUUGGACAAUGGACGCAAGUCUGAUCCAGCCAUUCCGCGUGCAGGAUGAAGGCCCUCGGGUUGUAAACUGCUUUUGUACGGAACGAAAAGGUCUCUAUUAAUACUAGGGGCUCAUGACGGUACCGUAAGAAUAAGCACCGGCUAACUACGUG